rnacentral:sRNA from 1 species
UAGACGGGUAAAGGGGGGAGCCGGGAGUAAUGACGUUUUUCCCCAUUUGCUCUUGGGCUUCGAGUGGUUACGAGCGUUUGUAUUUGGUUCUGCGAAACGAACAAUUUUCCCUUGGCGCUACGUUGUAGAAUGUGUUAUGCAUAUAUGCCGAGUAUGGUUUUUGUUUCUUUCCCUGCGUGAGCGGCUUGGAGUCUUGGCGUUUAGUUCGUCGUCCAUUUUGUUAUAUUUUUCUUUUUCUCGGUGUUAUUGAUUUAAUAACCCCUGAUUAUGUUUUAUAUUACAAUCUCCUUUUUAUAUGAGAUUAUGAAAAUAUCACCGCGCGUUGGGGAACGAUUUCCGAGGGUCUUGGAAUGGUAGCUCUUUUCUAUUUAUUCAUCUUAACAAGUAGGCCGUUAUAGAGAAUGCACAUGUACUGUACACGUGCAGCUAUGAAAAUGUUGAUGUAAGGAUAAUUAAUAUUCUGUACAUAUGAAAGCCUGG